AAGGCUAGGCCAGCUUGGCGUUGGUUGUCCAAGUUUAAGGUGGUAGGCUGAAAUCUUAGGUAAAUCCGGGGUUUCAAGGCCGAGAGCUGAUGACGAGUCGUCUUUUAGAUGGCGAAGUGGUUGAUGCCAUGCUUCCAAGAAAAGCUUCUAAGCUUCAGGUAACCAGGAACCGUACCCCAAACCGACACAGGUGGUCGGGUAGAGAAUACCAAGGCGCUUGAGA
rnacentral:rRNA from 1 species